rnacentral:rRNA from 1 species
UACGUAGGGUGCGAGCGUUGUCCGGAAUCAUUGGGCGUAAAGCGCGCGUAGGUGGCCUCAUAAGUCCGCUGUGAAAGUCAAAGGCUCAACCUUUGAAAGCCGGUGGAUACUGUGGGGCUAGAGUACGGAAGAGGCGAGUGGAAUUCCUGGUGUAGCGGUGGAAUGCGCAGAUAUCAGGAAGAACACCAACGGCGAAGGCAGCUCGCUGGGACGGUACUGACGCUGAGACGCGAAAGCGUGGGGAGCGAACAGG